CACGAGCGGCGAACGGGUGAGUAACACGUGGGUGAUCUGCCUUGCACUCUGGGAUAAGCCUGGGAAACUGGGUCUAAUACCGGAUAUGACCUUCGGUUGCAUGACCGGGGGUGGAAAGAUUUAUCGGUGCAAGAUGAGCCCGCGGCCUAUCAGCUUGUUGGUGGGGUAAUGGCCUACCAAGGCGACGACGGGUAGCCGGCCUGAGAGGGCGACCGGCCACACUGGGACUGAGACACGGCCCAGACUCCUACGGGAGGCAGCAGUGGGGAAUAUUGCACAAUGGGCGGAAGCCUGAUGCAGCGACGCCGCGUGAGGGAUGACGGCCUUCGGGUUGUAAACCUCUUUCGACUCCGACGAAGCGAGAGUGACGGUAGGAGUAUAAGAAGCACCGGCCAACUACGUGCCAGCAGCCGCGGUAAUACGUAGGGUGCGAGCGUUGUCCGGAAUUACUGGGCGUAAAGAGCUUGUAGGCGGUCUGUCGCGUCAUCUGUGAAAACUUGGGGCUCAACCUUAAGCUUGCAGGCGAUACGGGCAGACUAGAGUACUUCAGGGGAGACUGGAAUUCCUGGUGUAGCGGUGAAAUGCGCAGAUAUCAGGAGGAACACCGGUGGCGAAGGCGGGUCUCUGGGAAGUAACUGACGCUGAGAAGCGAAAGCGUGGGUAGCGAACAGGAUUAG
rnacentral:rRNA from 1 species